UAAUUCCGGAUGAGCCCGAAAGGGGAAAGAUUUCUCGCCAAUAGAUCAGCCCGCGUMCGAUUAGCUAGUUGGUGGGAUUAAAGCCUACCAAGGCGACGAUCGGUAGCUGUUCUGAGAGGAAGAUCAGCCACACUGGGACUGAGACACGGCCCAGACUCCUACGGGAGGCAGCAGUUGGGAAUCUUGGACAAUGGGGGAAACCCUGACCCAGCCAUGCCGCGUGAGUGAUGAAGGCCUUCGGGUUGUAAAACUCUUUCGACGGGGACGAUAAUGACGGUACCCGUAGAAGAAGCUCCGGCUAACUUCGUGCCAGCAGCCGCGGUAAUACNAAGGGGGCUAGCGUUGUUCGGAAUUACUGGGCGUAAAGCGCGCGCAGGCGGUCUUCCAAGUCAGUGGUGAAAGCCCGGAGCUCAACUCCGGAACUGCCAUUGAAACUGUGAGACUUGAGUACGAGAGAGGUGAGUGGAAAUUCCCAGCGUAGAGGUGAAAUUCGUACAUAUUGGGAAAGAACACCGGUGGCGAAGGCGGCUCACUGGCUCGAAACUGACGCUCAAGCGCGACAGCGUNGGGAUCAACAGGANUUAGAUCCCUGGUAGUCCACGCCCGUAAACCAUGA
rnacentral:rRNA from 1 species